GAACAAGCACAGAUAUAGCCAGCGCAUUCCUCCCAUUCUCAGCCUGAUCAGCACCGCUCAGGAGCAGCCGCCAGAAAGAAGUUUUAGACCCCCGGCUGCGGGAUUGGAUACAACUUCCUUUGAGUGCCUCACUGGGAAGAACGCAG
rnacentral:misc_RNA from 1 species